GAUUAACGCUAGCGGCAGGCCUAAUACAUGCAAGUCGAGGGGUAAAUAGUGUAGCAAUACAUUAUGAGACCGGCGCACGGGUGCGUAACACGUUUGCAAUCUACCUCUAACUGGGGGAUAGCCUUCUGAAAGGAAGAUUAAUACCGCAUAAUACUACGAUGGGGCAUCUCAAUGUAGUCAAAACUCCGGUGGUUAGAGAUGAGCAUGCGCGACAUUAGCUAGUUGGUGAGGUAAUGGCUCACCAAGGCUACGAUGUCUAGGGGGUCUGAGAGGAUGAUCCCCCANACUGGUACUGAGACACGGCCCAGACUCCUACGAGAGGCAGCAGUGGGGAAUCUUGUCCAAUGGGCGAAANCCUGAGACAGCGACGCCGCGUGCGGGAAG
rnacentral:rRNA from 1 species